AGCGGCGGACGGGUGAGUAACACGUGGGUAACCUGCCCAAGAGGCUGGGAUAACACCUGGAAACAGAUGCUAAUACCGGAUAACAACACUAGACGCAUGUCUAGAGCUUGAAAGAUGGUUCUGCUAUCACUCUUGGAUGGACCUGCGGUGCAUUAGCUAGUUGGUAAGGUAACGGCUUACCAAGGCAAUGAUGCAUAGCCGAGUUGAGAGACUGAUCGGCCACAUUGGGACUGAGACACGGCCCAAACUCCUACGGGAGGCAGCAGUAGGGAAUCUUCCACAAUGGACGAAAGUCUGAUGGAGCAACGCCGCGUGAGUGAAGAAGGGUUUCGGCUCGUAAAGCUCUGUUGGUAGUGAAGAAAGAUAGAGGUAGUAACUGGCCUUUAUUUGACGGUAAUUACUUAGAAAGUCACGGCUAACUACGUGCCAGCAGCCGCGGUAAUACGUAGGUGGCAAGCGUUGUCCGGAUUUAUUGGGCGUAAAGCGAGUGCAGGCGGUUCAAUAAGUCUGAUGUGAAAGCCUUCGGCUCAACCGGAGAAUUGCAUCAGAAACUGUUGAACUUGAGUGCAAAAGAGGAGAGUGGAACUCCAUGUGUAGCGGUGAAUGCGUAGAUAUAUGGAAGAACACCAGUGGCGAAGGCGGCUCUCUGGUCUGCAACUGACGCUGAGGCUCGAAAGCAUGGGUAGCGAACAGGAUUAGAUACCCUGGUAGUCCAUGCCGUAAACGAUGAGUGCUAAGUGU
rnacentral:rRNA from 1 species